AUUAUUUAUUUUUUUCCUUUGGUGGCCCUCAGUUCAGUGUUGGGUUCUUAAAUUGGCCCUCAGCUACCAAAACUUUGAGAACCCCUGGUCUAUUGCGACAGAUUCA